GUCUUUUUGAAUUAAAUUUAAAGUCUAACCUGCCCACUGAAAAUUUUAAAUGGCCGCAGUAUUCUAACUGUGCAAAGGUAGCAUAAUCAUUAGUCUUUUAAUUGAAGGCUGGAAUGAAUGGUUGGACGAAAUAUUAACUGUUUCAUUUAAAUUUUUGUAGAAUUUUAUUUUUUAGUCAAAAAGCUAAAAUAAAUUUAAAAGACGAGAAGACCCUAUAAAUCUUUAUAUUUUAUUUAUUUUAAUUAUAAAGAUUAUUUUUGUUAUAAUAAAUUAAAAUAUUUUAUUGGGGUGAUAUUAAAAUUUAAAAAACUUUUAAUUUUAAAAACCAUUAAUUUAUGAAUAAUUGAUCCGUUAAUAACGAUUAAAAAUUUAAGUUACUUUAGGGAUAACAGCGUAAUUUUUUUGGAGAGUUCAUAUCGAUAAAAAAGAUUGCGACCUCGAUGUUGGAUUAAGAUAUAAUUUUGGGUGUAGCCGUUCAAAUUUUAAGUCUGUUCGACUUUUAAAUUCUU
rnacentral:rRNA from 1 species